CCUGAGCCCCUGAGAGAGCUGUGGGGGAGGGUCUCGACCUGCUCCCUCGGCUCAGCGCUCCUCACUCUCAAAGGAGCUUCGGUCCAGGUCCACUUUGAACUUUAAGCCAAAGCAAUAGCUCUGUUUCAAGGUGUAACUGUAUUAUCCCUUCUCAUAAAGAUCUCUUGUGAUAAUUGUUCUCCCAUAAUGGAACAAUCUAGGCCCUCUGUGGGGGACCAAGCACGUGAAGGUCUUCCUGACUCUCAUCUCCACUCAUCACGGAAAGGCUGAAAGAGGAAGGGCCUCUUCUCCUCUGAGGCAGGAGAGAAGACUAACAAGGGAGGACUUGGGGUGGCUGGAGAGCUUGGAUUUAAAUCACAAUAACACCGAGGGAAGAUGAAUGACAGUGCUAUUGAAUGUGGCUAAAAUUGGAUACUUCAGCACAGGUGGAGGGUGCUGGUUCCGCAGUGAGUCCCUGAAGGGACGAUGACCAUGUACGCCAGUGGGGAGCAGAAAGAGUUGCAGCUUGAAUUCCAUAGGAAACGGGCUGGGCCUGGCGUACAGUUUCUCCCUCCCCGCCCAUGGACCAUCUCCUGUGGACAUUCCUGCAAUCACACUUACCUUCUC